rnacentral:sRNA from 1 species
AUAUUUCUGAGGUGGCCCUUUGGGAGCAAAAAGAAACAUUACAUUUACAAAAGUAAGUUUUGAUAAAACAUUUUGGCCCCACAUAGAAAAGGGCCCCUACCAGCAUAGUCUCUUGUUAGAAAACUCUUCUUGGGCAAAAAGAAUGGAAAAAGAGGGUUUUGGAAAAUGAUGAAAAUGUAGAAGAAGGGAAUGAAGAAGAGGAUUUGGAAGAGGAUAUUCCCAAGCGAAAGAACAGGACUAGAGGACGGGCUCGCGGCUCUGCGGGGGGCAGAAGGAGGCACGACGCCGCCUCUCAGGAAGAUCACGACAAACCUUACGUCUGUGACAUCUGUGGCAAGCGCUACAAGAACCGACCGGGGCUCAGCUACCACUAUGCUCACACUCACCUGGCCAGCGAGGAGGGGGAUGAAGCUCAAGACCAGGAGACUCGGUCCCCACCCAACCACAGAAAUGAGAACCACAGGCCCCAGAAAGGACCGGAUGGAACAGUCAUUCCCAAUAACUACUGUGACUUCUGCUUGGGGGGCUCCAACAUGAACAAGAAGAGUGGGCGGCCUGAAGAGCUGGUGUCCUGCGCAGACUGUGGACGCUCUGCUCAUUUGGGAGGAGAAGGCAGGAAGGAGAAGGAGGCAGCGGCCGCAGCACGUACCACGGAGGACUUAUUCGGUUCCACGUCAGAAAGUGACACGUCAACUUUCCACGGCUUUGAUGAGGACGAUUUGGAAGAGCCUCGCUCCUGUCGAGGACGCCGCAGUGGCCGGGGUUCGCCCACAGCAGAUAAAAAGGGCAGUUGCUAAACCCACGGAAGAGACUCUCUGGGCAAUUAGCCAUCCCCCUCUGACUUUGGUCAUUGUGCUGGUUCUGAUAUAUAUUUUUUUUUAAUGAAAGGCAACUUUAGAUUUUCCCUCUAUCCUUGCUUUUUUUCCCCUCACCUCCCAUGUGUCCCUCCAUCCCUCCCCCCACCACUCUGUUCUGGGUAUGUACAACAGAAACACAAACUACUGAAACAAAACAAAACAGCAGAAUGAGCGUUCUUCCGAGAGAUGGCAUCGUGAUGCGCUAUUUAUUUUCCAUAGAAAUAGGAAGUUAGACGGAUUGUCUCUUUUCUGAGGGGAGGGGGUCUUUUUGACAGGAGCAGAGUUGAUGUCCUCAAUUUUCGUAUUUAUUGGCAAAAGGAAGAGAAGAGGAACUUUGGGUUGGAAACAAAGAACCAAUAACAUUAAAACAUUAUUAUUUAUAUAUUCUAGCUAUUAUUAGAAUCAGACUGUUUUUGAGUGAGAGAGAGAGAGAGAGAGAGAAGGGAAAUCAAAGAAAUCGAAGCAAUAUCCUGUUUAGAGGCAAGCCACCCGGUGGGGAGAGUUUCCUCAAUGGGAGACGGUUGCACUUUCUGUGCCCCACGGAGUUUGCGGCUCCCCGCGGCAGACCCCUCCCUCAUUCUCCUCCCUGACCUUUCCAUCUUCCUCUCUGCUUGCGAGAAAAUGUCAGUAGUUCCAGAGAAGUCGGGGUGCCUAUGCCUGGCCUCCCUCCACACCUGGGCCCUGACCAGCCGCCUCCUGGGCUCCUCCUCCUCCAUCAGUAGAGCUGCUGUUUUGUUAUUGCUGGUUUUUCCUCACUUUCCUCCUGGCAAAGAACGACUUCCAAAUGCAGGGAUGGAAUAUAAGCAGAAUGUCAUGGGCUCAGCAGUGACGCCACCACCCGAGGCCGAGGCCGUGCUUCUGGAAGAUAGAAGGAGACGUCAUCGUGUGUUUCCCCUCCCCUUGCCCCUGUUAAGAAACAUAUCAAUACCCAUUGGAUGAUCAAGGCUACCGUAUUUCUUCUAUUUUUUUUUAUAGUGCCCGCCAGGCACUUUGUUUUAUGUUUCCAAUAGCACUUCCUGAAAUAAACCAAAGCAACACUGCUCAAGGCCCCUGGGGCGAUGGAGAAGGCCACCCACCUCACACAGUCCCAAGAAUGACCGGCUGCGAGGUCCUAGUCAAAAGUCAACAUUAUGACCUUGGGGACUCCAGCAUCCUUCAAGCAAGCCAUUUCCGAAGAAGGUGAAAAGAAGCCAGGAUGAUUGGCACCUCCUCCUCCUCCUCCUCCUCUUCUUCCUCUUCCCUUGCCCAGCCCCCUCCUGUGCGUGUGUUUCAGACAACACAGGGGCCAGCACAGGAGUGGAAAAUCCUGCAGCGCAACUCAGCUCAGCCCACAGAAGCCUCGGGAAUGGCCUCAGUUUGUGCAAUAAGAAGAUUUUUUUUUUUCUUUUUAAAUCUUCAUUGUAUUUUCUUUGAUUGUCUGUGAGAAAGUACCCAGGUCCGCCUGGAAUUACUCUACAGUAGAAAUAACUGAAUACAAACAAACUGAUGGAAAAAAAGAGUUAACUAUUUUAUUUAUUUCAAUAUUUAAAAGGAAAAAAGUGCUGACAUUGCACAGUAUUUUUGUUUAAAGUACCUCCUACUUCAAAAGUUAAGCGCAAUUUUGUGAAGACAUGAAAUCGUAAGAGUACUUAAUGUAAAAUAAAAGACUGCAUAUUAACUCUAAAGAAAAAUGCCCCACAUUUUAAAUAAGAAAAUAAAGAUCAACUCUGCUCUCUCAGGCUUUUUAAAAAGCCAUUCAUGUAUGUGCUUUAGGUAUUUUUAUUUCUGCGAGUUGGAUGUGGUAAGUGAGGAGUGAUCAGUUUUUUUUUUCCUCCUUCAAAAGUCUAUUGAAAGUGUUGGUGAUGUUAAAUGAUUGUGUGUUAAGACUUGACUGAAAUAACUUAGCCACAAAUCAGCAGUUUCCCCCACCCUCACUGCCCCCUCACCCCAGGCAAGCCCCUUUUAUCUGAAUGUCAGAAGCAGCCUGCCUCCUAGUUAUCAUGUCUGAUGAGGUCUAGCUCAGAAAGGAAUUCCAUCUAGUGAUGGAAUAUAUCCCCUCAAGUUCAAUAGAUUCGAAUGCAGAGAGCUUUGUUUAAAAUAAUGCAGCAAAAAAAAAAAAAAAAAGCAAAAAUAAAAGCAUCAGCUGAGAUGAUAUUAGUUCAGUCACCUAACAACUCCUAGAAGAGAUGAGCAAAGGGAACUUUCUGCUGAGCUGGCUUCUGGGGCCUGAGCUUCCAGAGCUGUCCCCAAGGGCUAGGAAGGCCGACCUGAAAGAUGAGAACCUCAAAUUCAGUUGCUGGUGGGAGCCAAGGAAGAAGGCGAGUGUUCUAACAUGGCCCUUUCUGGCUGAGCUGGCGGAAGUUGGGUGUUUUGGCCGAUGAGAUGUAUCUUGGCGCUGUGUCUGUGGCCCAGCAAAGGUUCAGGGCCGACUGGCUGAGCCACUGGGUUCUACCCGCAGGCUCCCCACUGCACUGGGCUUUCACACAGCCAUGCUCUUGGGUUUCCCUCCCUUGUAAGCAGAGUCAUAAUAACACACAAACAAUCUAAGGCUGGGUAUUCUGGUCAGCAGAGGUCCUUGAGUCACAGUGUUACUGAAAUGGUUCUGAGCCUGAGAAUCUCUUUGGCCUCUGAAAGGGCAGGGCAGGUGGCACCGACUUCCUGCCAGUCCUUUCAGGUUUCCCGUUCAAAGCCAGUCCUGUUGGUGGAGGGGAUCAUCGAGAGUGUCUGUACCAUUUUGUAGCCCUUUUCUCUGACAUUUUCUGGUAGAAAAUGUCCCUUGUCAAAAUGCUAAUAAUUAUCAUCAUAAUCUGCUUUCCAACCAACUCCCACAAGUGACAACCUGUGUAGAACUGUGAUAAAGGUUUGCAUAAUGUAGGGUUUGUACCAAGUGUGUGUAAGUUUCUGUUAAAUAAAAGUCUGUUUCCAAUGC